UGGGGAAUUGUUCGCAAUGGGCGCAAGCCUGACGACGCAACGCCGCGUGGAGGAUGAAGGUCCUCGGAUCGUAAACUCCUGUUGCCCGGGACGAAUAGCUCCGACCUAAUACGUCGGAGUCUGACGGUACCGGGUGAGGAAGCCCCGGCUAACUCUGUGCCAGCAGCCGCGGUAAUACAGAGGGGGCAAGCGUUGUUCGGAAUUACUGGGCGUAAAGGGCGCGUAGGCGGCCUUUUAAGUCGAACGUGAAAUCCCCGGGCUCAACCCGGGAACUGCGUCCGAGACUGGAAGGCUCGAAUCCGGGAGAGGGAUGUGGAAUUCCAGGUGUAGCGGUGAAAUGCGUAGAUAUCUGGAGGAACAUCGGUGGCGAAGGCGGCAUCCUGGACCGGUAUUGACGCUGAGGCGCGAAAGCCAGGGGAGCAAACGGG
rnacentral:rRNA from 1 species